GACGAACGCUGGCGGCGUGCUUAACACAUGCAAGUCGAACGAUGAAGCUGGAGCUUGCUCCGGUGGAUUAGUGGCGAACGGGUGAGUAACACGUGAGCAAUCUGCCCUUCACUCUGGGAUAACUGCGGGAAACUGUAGCUAAUACCGGAUACGAGACCUUGGGGCAGCCCAGGGUCUGGAAAGAAUGUCGGUGAAGGAUGAGCCCGCGGCCUAUCAGCUAGUAGGUGAGGUAAUGGCUGACCAAGGCGGCGACGGGUAGCCGGCCUGGGAGGGUGACCAGCCACACUGGGACUGAGACACGGCCCAGACUCCUACGGGAGGCAGCAGUGGGGAAUAUUGCACAAUGGGCGAAAGCCUGAUGCAGCAACGCCGCGUGAGGGAUGAAGGGCUUCGGGUUGUAAACCUCUUUUAGUGGGGAAGAAGCGCAAGUGACAGUACCUACAGAAAAAGCACCGGCUAACUACGUGCCAGCAGCCGCGGUAA
rnacentral:rRNA from 1 species